GGCGGCNGCUGACACAUNGCAAGUUUAACGGUACAGAAAGUAGCUUGCUACUUUGCUGACGAGCGGCGGACGGGUGAGUAAUGCUUGGGAACAUGCCUUGAGGGUGGGGGACAACAGUUGGAAACGACUGCUAAUACCGCAUAAUGUCUACGGACCAAAGGGGGCUUCGGCUCUCGCCUUUAGAUUGGCCCAAGUGGGAUUAGCUAGUUGGUGAGGUAAUGGCUCACCAAGGCGACGAUCCCUAGCUGGUUUGAGAGGAUGAUCAGCCACACUGGGACUGAGACACGGCCCAGACUCCUACGGGAGGCAGCAGUGGGGAAUAUUGCACAAUGGGCGCAAGCCUGAUGCAGCCAUGCCGCGUGUGUGAAGAAGGCCUUCGGGUUGUAAAGCACUUUCAGUCAGGAGGAAAGGUUAACGGUUAAUACCCGUUANCUGUGACGUUACUGACAGAAGAAGCACCGGCUAACUCCGUGCCAGCAGCCGCGGUAAUACGGAGGGUGCGAGCGUUAAUCGGAAUUACUGGGCGUAAAGCGUACGCAGGCGGUUUGUUAAGCGAGAUGUGAAAGCCCCGGGCUCAACCUGGGAACUGCAUUUCGAACUGGCAAACUAGAGUGUGAUAGAGGGUGGUAGAAUUUCAGGUGUAGCGGUGAAAUGCGUAAGAUCUGAAGGAAUACCGAUGGCGAAGGCAGCACCUUGGGUCACACUGACGCUCAUGUACGAAAGCGUGGGGAGCAACG
rnacentral:rRNA from 1 species